rnacentral:tRNA from 1 species
CGGGCUGUGGCGCAGUUGGCUAGCGCACCUGCUUUGGGAGCAGGGGGUCGUGGGUUCGAGUCCCACCAGCCCGA